ensembl:lncRNA
UGGCAGGCGGUCUUUUGAGUUAAUUUAACCCCAGGAUCAGAAGGAAAUGGACAACCUAGCUGAAGGCAUUUCUUAGAGGUGCAAUGCCUGAAGUGCAGUUCCAUGGUGAGAAGUGACUGCGUCUAUAACUGUGUGAGAACCUCCAACAACACGUGCAUUCUUGCAAGAGAAUGGACAGCAGCACAGCCCGAAGCUUCCAUGGGUGACUUUGUGACAAUUUCUUGAGUCUGUAGAUAAAUACCAAGCUGCAAAACGUGGCACGAGCUGCAAAACCUACCAUGAAGCUGAGCUCUGCACGCUGUACUGAAC